rnacentral:rRNA from 1 species
AUAGUGGAUAAUGGGCUCAAGCCUGAUCCUGUCAUGCCGUGUGAGUUUUGUAUUGCCUAGGGUCGUAAAGCUCUUUCAACGGUCAAGAUAAUGACGGUAACCGUAGAUGAAGCCCCGGCUAACUUCGAGCUAGCAGCCGCGGUAAUACGAAGGGGUCUAGCAUUGUUCGGAAUUACUGGGCGUAAACUGCACGUAGGCGGAUUGGUCAGUUAGGAGUGAACUCCCAGGGCUCAACCCUGGAGCUGCCUUUAAUAAUGCCGGUCUAGAAUUCGAGAGAAGUGAGUGGAAUUCCGAAUGUAGAGGUGAAAUUCGUAGAUAUUCGGAGGAACACCAGUGGCGAAGGCGGCUCACUGGCUCGAUACUGACGCUGAGGUGCGAAAGCGUGGGGAGCAAACA